rnacentral:lncRNA from 1 species
CGGGCAGGUGCUGAUGGAGCCCGAGGGGUGCCUGGAGAACCUGGAGUGAAGGGUGACCGAGGUUUUGAUGGACUCCCAGGGCUCCCUGGAGAGAAGGGCCAUAGGGGUGAUACUGGUGCCCAGGGCCUUCCUGGUCCCCCUGGUGAGGAUGGAGAGAGGGGAGAUGACGGGGAGAUUGGGCCUCGAGGGCUGCCUGGAGAGUCGGGACCUCGAGGUCUCCUUGGCCCCAAAGGCCCACCUGGUAUUCCUGGACCCCCUGUAAGUGACUCCCUGACUUCUGACCCUGAGGUGACCCCUUGACCUCUCCAACUCUCCACCUUUCUAGCUGCCUUCCUGCUCC